UACAGAGGUCUCAAGCGUUGUUCGGAUUCAUUGGGCGUAAAGGGUGCGUAGGCGGCGCGGUAAGUCGGGUGUGAAAUCUUGGAGCUUAACUCCGAAACUGCAUUCGAUACUGCCGUGCUUGAGGACUGGAGAGGAGACUGGAAUUUACGGUGUAGCGGUGAAAUGCGUAGAUAUCGUAAGGAAGACCAGUGGCGAAGGCGGGUCUCGUGGACAG
rnacentral:rRNA from 1 species